UUCUGCAGAUAAACCCGGUGCGGAGACAGAAAGUCCCCUUGAAAGGAAGCAGAAAUGAGUGGACAUUUGACAUAGAAACAAAGGCGCUGCUCUCCGAGAUGCUGAAACUCAUGACUGUACCUGUUUCCCUGAUGUACCAGCUGCACCGGGCUUUGAUCCUACACCUCCCCGAAGGCCGUGCGGGAAUCCCUGGGGUCAUUUGCCUCUUGAGUCCCCAGAAUGGCGGGUUGAGCUGGAGAGCCAUAAAUGAGAAAGGAGAAAAUACAGAGCACAUUGCCUCUCACGGGCACCUGGCAUGACUGCCGACCCUCUCACGCCUCUAGCCACCAGGUUCCAGAUGCUGCCAUGAUGCCGACCAGACUUCCCUGGACAGACAACCCCACCAAUGUGUCCUGGAGCCCUGCUUCCCCAGAGCCCUGCCCCACUAGGGAAAGAGAGAGACAGGCUGGGAGUAUGGAUCCACCUGCCAACACCCAUGUUCAGCAGGGAAGCAGUGACAGAAGCCAGACCUUCCACCUUCUGCAUCCCACAAUGACCCUGGGUCCAUGCUCCCAGAGGGAUAAAGAAUAGGAAAGCUGUCAGGGGAGGGGAGGGGAUACGGAGUUCUGGUGGUGGGAAUUGUGUGGAGUUGUACCCCUCUGAUCCAAUGGUUUUGUCAGUGUUUCCUUUUUAUAAAUAAAAUUUUUUUUUUAAUUAUGGCCUGGUUUCUCAAAUCUCCUGGCCUGUAUAUUGUUAUAUGGAAAAUUAAGAAAUGUUAUGCAUGUACAAAUUAUUGUAUUUACUGAUGACUGUAAAACAUUAAUCUCCCAAUAAAAGAAAAUAAAUAUUAAAAAUAAGUAGAUGUCUUUAAAAAUAAAACAACAGAUACUCUUAGAAUUAAAAAAAAAAUCUUCUGGCCUGGUAAUUG